CAGCCGCCACGGUAAUACGAACCGUGCGAACGUUAUUCGGAAUUACUGGGCUUAAAGCGCGUGUAGGCGGGCCGCCACGUCGGUUGCUGAAAUCCCCCGGCUCAACCGGGGAAGUGGCAUCGAUACGAGCGGCCUUGAGGGGGGUAGGGGGAUCUGGAACUUCCGGUGGAGCGGUGAAAUGCGUUGAGAUCGGAAGGAACGCCCGUGGCGAAAGCGAGGUCCUGGACCCUUUCUGACGCUGAGACGCGAAAGCCAGGGGAGCGAACGGGAUUAGAUACCCGUGUAGUCCCUGUCUCUUAUU
rnacentral:rRNA from 1 species